AUAAGUACAUUCUUGCUGAUUGGAUUUUAUAUAAUCAGGGCAGGCUAAACAUUCACUGUACUAAAACCAUGCAUGUGUCCCCAGACCUAGUUCUUUACCUAAGUCUGGUUUUCUAAAUGCUGCUGAUAAAC